GCAAAGUCAAAGGCCCGGUUCUUUUAGAUCGGAUGGGAGGAGAGGCCCUACAAUGCCCUAAUGCGCCCCCACAGCCAUGUUAGGAACAGGAGGAGAACCUCAUCCUAACAUGAGCAAAGUCAAAGGUACGGUUCUUUUAGACCGAAUGGGGGGAGAGGUCUUAUAGCGCCCUUAUGUGCCCCCACAGCCAUGUUGGGAACAGGAGGAGAACCUCGUCCUAACAUGAGCAAAGUCAAAGGCCCGAUUCUUUUAAACCGGAUGGGGAGAGAGGCCUUAUAGCGCCCUUAUGUGCCCCCACAGCCAUGUUGGAAAUAGGAGGAGAACCUCAUCCUAACAUGAGCAAAGUUGAAGGCCCAAUUCUUUUAGAUUGGAUGGGGGGAGAGGCCCUUGCAAUGACCCUUAUGUGCCCCCACAGCCCCAUUGGGAACAGGAGGAAAACCUCAUCCUAACCUGAGCUGAGAUCGACUACGUCAAGAACAGAAGGAGAACCUUGUCCUGACGAUGACAAAAACCCGAUAGUCCAAC
rnacentral:lncRNA from 1 species